CCUACGGGUGGCAGCAGUGAGGAAUAUUGGUCAAUGGACGCAAGUCUGAACCAGCCAAGUCGCGUGAAGGAUGACGGCUCUAUGAGUUGUAAACUGCUUUUGUACGGGGGUAAAACGAGACACGUGUGUCGGGUUGAAUGUACUGUAUGAAUAAGGAUCGGCUAACUCCGUGCCAGCAGCCGCGGUAAUACGGAGGAUCCAAGCGUUAUCCGGAUUUAUUGGGUUUAAAGGGUGCGUAGGUGGUUUGUUAAGUCAGAUGUGAAAGCCUGCGGCUCAACCGUAUAAUUGCAUUUGAUACUGGCAGUCUUGAGUACAGUAGAGGUAGGCGGAAUGUGUGGUGUAGCGGUGAAAUGCUUAGAUAUCAUGAAGAACCCCGAUUGCGAAGGCAGCUUACCAAACUGCGACUGACAUUGAGGCUCGAAAGUGUGGGUAUCAAACAGGAUUAGAUACCCGUGUAGUC
rnacentral:rRNA from 1 species